GUCCUUGGAGUUCAGCUGCUUAUGCAUGCCCUGUUGAAACUGUCUUCAGCCCCAACUGAGAUACCACAAGAGGUAAUGGCCACAAUUGAGAGGUUUGUUAUCCUACUCUAUGACCGAACCAGCACAUGCACAGAAAUAGAUACGGCAA